AGUGAACGCUGGCGGUAGGCCUAACACAUGCAAGUCGAACGGCAGCACAGUAAGAGCUUGCUCUUACGGGUGGCGAGUGGCGGACGGGUGAGGAAUACAUCGGAAUCUACUUUUUCGUGGGGGAUAACGUAGGGAAACUUACGCUAAUACCGCAUACGACCUACGGGUGAAAGCAGGGGAUCUUCGGACCUUGCGCGAUUGAAUGAGCCGAUGUCGGAUUAGCUAGUUGGCGGGGUAAAGGCCCACCAAGGCGACGAUCCGUAGCUGGUCUGAGAGGAUGAUCCGCCACACUGGAACUGAGACACGGUCCAGACGCCUACGGGAGGCAGCAGUGGGGAAUAUUGGACAAAGGGGGCAAGCCUGAUCCAGCCAUACCGCGUGGGUGAAGAAGGCCUUCGGGUUGUAAAGCCCUUUUGUUGGGAAAGAAAAGCAGCAGGUUAAUACCCCGCUGUUCUGACGGUACCCAAAGAAUAAGCACCGGCUAACUUCGUG
rnacentral:rRNA from 1 species